UACGGAGGGAGCUAGCGUUGUUCGGAAUUACUGGGCGUAAAGCGCACGUAGGCGGCUUUGUAAGUUAGAGGUGAAAGCCCGGGGCUCAACUCCGGAACUGCCUUUAAGACUGCAUCGCUUGAAUCCGGGAGAGGUGAGUGGAAUUCCGAGUGUAGAGGUGAAAUUCGUAGAUAUUCGGAAGAACACCAGUGGCGAAGGCGGCUCACUGGACCGGCAUUGACGCUGAGGCGCGAAAGCCAGGGGAGCAAACGGG
rnacentral:rRNA from 1 species